rnacentral:misc_RNA from 1 species
UUAAGUUCAGCGGGUAUCCCUACCUGAUCCGAGGUCAACCAUAGAAAAUUAGGGGGUUGAUGGCAAGCAACACGCUGAAGGGCCUGUAGCGAGGAAGAUUACUACGCUCAGGACCCAGCGGCCGCCGCACACUGAUUUUAAAGCCCGUCAUCUGACUGACGAAGCCCAAUACCAAGCAGAGCUUGAGGGUUGAAAUGACG